AAAAGGAAAUAUAGAUGAAAGAAAAUAUAUACGUGGCAAAUACUUAUUUCUUUAGAAUAAAGGAGAAUAUAUAUAACCUCAAUGCUUCAAUGUGUUAAUGUGAGACUAUGUAUUAGCAUUAAACAACAUUUAGUAUUAAGUAAUUUACAUCAAGAUAAAGACAGAAUUUUUAUCUCUAGAAGCCUCUUCCUCUUAGCCUCUUGGAAAAGCUGAGCGUCAUCUUCGGUGGUUUUUCCUUAUCUUUCAGGAUAAGGGAAGGCUUGCCUCCGACUAGGUUUUUUAGGGUCUCUCUCUUUUCUUGGUUGGUUUGUAUAGUUUUGUUUUGUGUUUCGUUUUGCACAUCUGGGUUCUAACUGGUGAGGAUGGUUUGAAAGAGGAUCUGCUUUGAGGAAGAGGUGGUUUGAUUUGUUGUGUGGUUCCUGCUUCCUCGGUUUCGUUUCCCCUAUUUGGUGUUUGGCUUGUUGCUUUUGGAGAAGUUGUGGAAAGGUUGGUGAUUUGUAGAUCUAGCGUUUACAUGAGAUAGUUGGCGUCCAUGGUUAUAGGAGACUACGAUGUCAUGGCCCUGCCUUUCUUUCUCCUAAAGCGAUAGUGGUGUCCUGUGAGUUUAUCUUGAAGAGUUGAUCUGUCUUUGCUUUGGUUGUGGAGUAUCUUCUUCCUAGCUUUGGCUAGUUUAGUUAUGACUGCUAGUUUUUGGAGGAUGGUCUCUACUGAUUUGGCUCUGGUGGGUUAGUCUUGCUCGGUUCUAGUGGACGGUAGUUUUUUGGAUUGCUGAGCCAAGUUUGCUUCAGCCAAGUUUGCUGUCAAGAAUUGGGCUUGUUGUGGGGCCCCUACAUUGGGUAGGGUUGUGUUCUGAACUGCUGGAUCUACCAAGAAGGCAAUAAUGGACGAGACUCAAAACCAAAGAAUCUUGGAGUGAAGAAAUUUGGUGGGGAGGUAAUUUUUUUGGCGAUGAAAAUCGCUUGCGUUUGUUAUGCUAGACGCACAGGCUUAGCGGCCGCAAGUGGGUGCAUGUUGAACCCAAGGAUGGAUAUAAACUUCACCCAGUCUAUGAAAAAGCAAGUGCUGCCUCAUCUCAGCUCAAGACACGCUCUUGAAUUGUAUUUUUAGGUGCAUCUACAACUUGGUUUUUCACAUUUGAAUAACUAAAACAGUAAUAUUUGGAAUCAAUCUUCAUAUUACUUCGUACUAA